rnacentral:rRNA from 1 species
UACAGAGGUCUCAAGCGUUGUUCGGAUUCAUUGGGCGUAAAGGGUGCGUAGGCGGCGCGGUAAGUCGGGUGUGAAAUCUCGGGGCUUAACUCCGAAACUGCAUUCGAUACUGCCGUGCUUGAGGACUGGAGAGGAGACUGGAAUUUACGGUGUAGCGGUGAGAUGCGUAGAUAUCGUAAGGAAGACCAGUGGCGAAGGCGGGUCUCUGGACAGUUCCUGACGCUGAGGCACGAAGGCCAGGGGAGCAAACGGG